rnacentral:rRNA from 1 species
ACGCGAAGAACCUUACCUGGUCUUGACAUCCACGGAAGUUUUCAGAGAUGAGAAUGUGCCUUCGGGAACCGUGAGACAGGUGCUGCAUGGCUGUCGUCAGCUCGUGUUGUGAAAUGUUGGGUUAAGUCCCGCAACGAGCGCAACCCUUAUCCUUUGUUGCCAGCGGUCCGGCCGGGAACUCAGAGGAGACUGCCAGUGAUAAACUGGAGGAAGGUGGGGAUGACGUCAAGUCAUCAUGGCCCUUACGACCAGGGCUACACACGUGCUACAAUGGCGCAUACAAAGAGAAGCGACCUCGCGAGAGCAAGCGGACCUCAUAAAGUGCGUCGUAGUCCGGAUUGGAGUCUGCAACUCGACUCCAUGAAGUUGGAAUCGCUAGUAAUCGUGGAUCAGAAUGCCACGGUGAAUACGUUCCCGGGUCUUGUACACACCG